CAAUAAUAAAUAAAUUUUGUUUCUCGUUAAAAGAUAAUUAUAAAUCUAUAGGUUUUAAUUAAGUCUCCCCGGAAAUAGGCAGCGUUUCUUAAACUAAGAGGUCGCAAGCACUUGAGGGGUAGAUUAAAAAUUUUAGACGGUCGCAAAACUGGAAAAACUAAGGUUUAUACCUAUGAAAAAUUCUCCCGUCAAGCAUGAGAGAAUAUUUUUAUGAGAAAGUAGAUUGAAGAAUUGAGAAGAGCUUUAAAGUCGAGCUCGACGUUGUGAUGCUAUUUCUGCAGCCCUUGAUAAAGCCAUUCUUACUCGAUGUUGCUAAAGUCAGACUUCAUGGCCUUCAGAAGACUCAAUUGUUCAUAUUCUUUUCGAUCUAUCAAUAGAAGUUACCUAACCAAUUUUACUUUUACACUUUCCCCUAGGCAUUUUUUUCGACAAAAUAGCGAGUCAUCUUAAUUUAGUCCAAAGAUGAAUUGUAUAUACUGUACAUUAAUUAGACGAGCGAUAACGGGCUCGUUAGAUCCGAAAAAUUCCUGGGAAUUUUUCAACCCUGUCCAGAUUUGAUACCUGGCCCCCCCAGAGUGAUAGGCAGCCGCUUUGACCGCUCGGCCAUUCAGCCGUAGUUUAAGAUAUUCAGACAUAGGGAAACCUAGUUAAUACUGUACGUAUAUGGAUAAGUCUAUAGGACGUAAGUGUGACGAAUCAAGAUGACUGUACGAUAAUGUUCUUUCGUAAAUUUGGCAGCCUUGCCCCCAACAGUUCUACGGAACCAUUAUGUUCUGUCGGAAUUACUUAGUCUGUUGGGCUAGACGGUUCCUUGACGGUUAUAUAUAAUAGAAUGUUUGUGUCUCUCUGUUCUAAGCUUUUUCGUCGAACCAAAUUUUUCAUACUACAGUUAUUUUCUGGGACUGAAGAAAAUAUAUUCUACCAUGAAACUUAGCUACGUCACGCUCUUCUGAUUCGAUCUGCUUGAAAUUCUUGAUGAACAUAACAAUCGUAGGCUAAAAUAUCUAAGCUUUCAACAUGGUUUUCAUUUAACGUUCAGUUUUCUUACAUUUCGGCCGGAAAAUGCCGGUCAUAUCUUCUAGUUGAAGCGAGCGUUAGCGAAGCCUCUUUAUGCAGCAUACAGAAUUGUGUUCCUUCUUGAAAUCUGUUCGAUCGAUUUUGAUUAAACUUUGCCAUUUCCCAUUAAUUAAUUGUGAUGAAGAACCCAAAAAUAUAAUGAGUUAAUUUAAAUGUAAAAAAUAAAAGUCCAUGACUUCAUUUUCGAAAUACAGUGGUAUUAAAGUGACAAUGCCUGUGCUCUCUGAUGAGACUGAGCGCACCUAACAUAAUUUAGGGGUAGGGGUCAAAAAUAAAA